UCUGCAUAAUCCCCCAAUGUAGACUGUCACCAAAUUUGAAGAUUCUGGGUACAAAAGUCCACGAGAUAUCACGUUAACAAGAGUUUGAAAAGUGGCCAAAGUGUCGUGCUGACCUUCAAAAUAAGGUCAAGGUCACCCAAAUCACUUGGUGUCUGUGUUAUCCCAAAAUGUAGGCUGUCACCAAAUUUGAAGACAUUGGCACAACAGUUCAUGAGAUAUCACGUUAA